rnacentral:lncRNA from 1 species
GUUCUCUCUCAAGCUCAAAGUAUCUUUCUGAGUGAUGAUAUCCUUUAAUCUGCCAUCCAUCUCUUCUAUCUUGGAUCUCAUUUUACGAUCGAACAUAAAUGCUUUUGGGCUCAAUCUAAAGCAACAACUCGGAAGAAGGGAACGUGCCUUGCUAGUGCCAGGUUCUGACUUGGACUUAUUUUCCAUGGACUUCAUGGCGAACUCGUCAAGCAAGUCUUCGAUGUCGUAGACCAAGUUCCUGAGAUCUUUAAGCCACGACUUCACAUCGAGAUCGUCGGUGAGUUGCCUAUCCUCUGCAUCAUCCAACACCUUGUUAAUGCUAAUCAGCAUCUUCUCCCAUUUCUCCAGCAGCGUAUAUAUACCCUCGCGCCGCGCAAAGUUGAGAACCUCUUGAGAGGCCAACCUUUCGAAGAGCACCGAAAGAAAGGCGCCAAGAAAGAGCUCUGCGAUGGGCAUGGCUUGGUUCGCGAGUGGCAGAGGAUUAAACAAGAGUGCUGAAAGGGUCGAAACAAAGUGCAGAGAGCGGAGAGGAAACAAAAGUUCUUCUGUCCAGGACAACAGGAUGAAAUGAUGGUGUGAAUCAAAGACUUUUUAAGCACUAAAGCACUCUUUCUUUCUCGGAAGAAGCUGCCGGUGCAUUUUUUUCCAUCUCGUCCUCGCUGAUUUCAUUUCAUUUCUGUGGACUCGAUUUCUCGGAAGCAAGUUGGUCGGAUGUGGGACCGAGUCUUGGCAUCAUUGAAG